GGAGGGAUGGCAGAGCGGACGAAUGCGAGGCUCUUGAAAAGCCUUGGGGCUGCGGCUCCCGUGGGUUCGAAUCCCACUCCCUCCG
rnacentral:tRNA from 1 species